rnacentral:rRNA from 1 species
UACGUAGGGUGCAAGCGUUAAUCGGAAUUACUGGGCGUAAAGCGUGCGCAGGCGGUUAUGCAAGACAGAUGUGAAAUCCCCGGGCUCAACCUGGGAACUGCAUUUGUGACUGUAUAGCUAGAGUACGGUAGAGGGGGAUGGAAUUCCGCGUGUAGCAGUGAAAUGCGUAGAUAUGCGGAGGAACACCGAUGGCGAAGGCAAUCCCCUGGACCUGUACUGACGCUCACGCACGAAAGCGUGGGGAGCAAACAGG